GCCCAGACUCCUACGGGAGGCAGCAGUGGGGGAUAUUGCACAAUGGGGGAAACCCUGAUGCAGCGACGCCGCGUGAGUGAAGAAGUAUUUCGGUAUGUAAAGCUCUAUCAGCAGGGAAGAAGAUGACAGUACCUGAGUAAGAAGCCCCGGCUAACUGCGUGCCAGCAGCCGCGGUAAUACGUAGGGGGCAAGCGUUAUCCGGAUUUACUGGGUGUAAAGGGGGCGCAGACGGCGAUGCAAGCCAGGAGUGAAAGCCCGGGGCCCAACCCCGGGACUGCUCUUGGAACUGCGUGGCUGGAGUGCAGGAGGGGCAGGCGGAAUUCCUGGUGUAGCGGUGAAAUGCGUAGAUAUCAGGAGGAACACCGGUGGCGAAGGCGGCCUGCUGGACUGCAACUGACGUUGAGGCCCGAAAGCGUGGGGAGCAAACAGGAUUAGAUACCCUGGUAA
rnacentral:rRNA from 1 species